GCUGAGGCUAGACUGGAGUGCUCAUCCUACUCUGUAACCUUAAACGGAUGUUGAAGGAGUCGAAGCUUAAGAAGCGGUAUAUUGGCUAAGUAAUGGUCUUGGCUCGUACGUUGAAGUCCUGUCCUGUUUGACUGGCGCUUUUGAGAACCACGUCAGGUUGGGAACAAAGCAGCGUUAAUCAUUAAUGCUGGUGCUUUCAGGGUAGCGGGAUGGAGGAAAAGUCAAGGUAGCUGUUAUUUGAUCAGUGUAUCCAUUCUUUUGCGUGCCUCACU
rnacentral:SRP_RNA from 1 species